UAGAAAAUGUAAAUUUUUUUAAAACUCAUAUAUGUGUAGCGAAAUGCUGCCAGUUUUUAAAAUCAGGCAUUAUUGUAGGUCAGAGGUGUUGUUCAUGUUGAGGGAAUAAGGGUGGCUGCUCUCAUCUUCUUCCUGUCUCCUCCUUGUCAGUUGAUGUGGUAAUGGGAAGGAGUCAGUAGUCUGUGUAAAGAGAAAAGAAGGCAUGAAUUUCCUGAAAGGAUUAAUUUCCCUAAAACAAAACAAAAAAUAAACAAAAACCCCUUAAGUCAGUUCCCUUCCCUGUGUGGGCUGCUCUCAUGUAGAAGGUGGGUGGGAGAGUGUUCAGCCAUAGACAGAUGGAUGGUGGUAUCAGGUGCAGAUUAGAGUUGCUGUUGUUAUCCUUGGUGUUUCGUUGUCCUUUGUCUGCCUCCUGCACCUGCUGGGAUUCAGAGACUUGAGGAAGCUUAGUUACUUUGUCAGUGUGAAAACUGUCCUAACUGGGGAGCAGUGAUUGCAGGGACCACAGUUAGUGCAGCCGGGAAGGUGAGGGAGUGCAGGAGGCCGAGGAGGCUGAGUCAGCUCAGGAGAGCUUCAGUGAGUUUCAUUAUUGGCGAGUUGGCCAUUGUUCCUGGAGACCUUCCUCACCUGCAGUCACUGUUAUCCUCGGAUUUCUGUGAGGAGGUUUUCAGAAACUGGCUGUACUAUUGCCAGUGACCCCCUUCUAAUUAAAAUUUAAUUACACCAUUUCCCUCCUUGCCUUUCUUCCCUUCAACCUUCUCCUCCCUUUUCAGUGGCAGGAAUUAGAUGAUACUUAUUUAAUGGAAAGCACUGUAUAGAUUUUUUUUUUUAAUUGUUACAUACCAGUCUCAGCAUGUGUUGCCUAACUGCUUUCUGAUCACAACUGGCUUUCAAAAACUCUCCUUCUGCAGCACUUCUGUCAGUAGAGGGUUUCUUUCAGCCAGUUCUAGCCACAGUAUUGAUUGGGCCUGGGUAUCUGAUAUACCCAAAACGAAUUAGCCAGCCAGAAAAAAAACCUUUGUCCCCACCAGAAUAAAUAUUUUAAAGACCUUCUUAGAUUCUGAAAACCAUGAGUACAAAUGAAAGAGACUUAGGAAAGAGAAAACCUUAGGAGCCUGACAGCACAAAGUGCUGGUGGGCUGCAGACUGACCUUCUCAGAGCAGAUCUCAGGGAACAGCGCCUCCUGGAGGGGAAGAGAAUGCUGGGAUGUCCUGGACACCAGGCAGUUCAUGUUGUCAUAGCUAGUUUUCACAAGCAGGCCAUGGAGUUUAAGAAUAGUGAGGCCAGUGAUUGGAAAUAUUGAUAUAUUUCCUAAUGGUGAGUUUGAAUUAUUAUCACAUGUUCUAAGUGUGUUGGCAGCUCAAUGGUAAAUUUAACUUCAAAUAAAUGUCUUAAAUAUUAGAGAAAAUACAUUAUCAAUAAUAUACUUUUGUUCCUGCUGUAUAAUUUUACAAAAUUCUGUAGAAUAUUAUGUAUAUUGAGAACUGAGGGCAUAGAUAUGGUCACGUUGGCCGCCUCCUAGACGCUUCUAGGUAAAACUUUUUGUGGUACUGAUUAGAGAGCAUUGCAGUGUCUCUCAUGGGAAGUCUGUCCCUUCCUGGAUCACUGUGCUUUACAGCCUUGGUUCAUCACACUCCAAAGAGAACAAACACAUCUGUGUGAGUUACACAUGUUAUUAACAGAGGGACCUAGGGAGCAAGUGGAACAAUAGUCUGCCACUUAGGGAAAAUGAGAGAAACUCCAUAUGGAAGUCAGCUGAAAGCUGGGGCUUCUUCACCAGCACCCCACACACACUUGGGCACGUUGGCAUAUGAUGAUGCCCAAUCUUUGGGGUCCUCGUCACAUGCUCUGACUUUGAUCUGCUCCCUCAGUGGUUCUCUGCCUCCAACUUGAAGGCUGCCCACCGCCUCUUGAUGCAGGCCUGCAGCCACAAGCUGGAGCCUCCUAGAGAAAGUGGACAGACGGUGAAGUCCGUUCCCCAGGACAGGUGGAGAAAGCAGGGCUUGAGGCAUAAUGUGUGGCAGUGCCUUUUACUUAUGACUCUUUAUUCCAUAAGAGGUUGAAUAGUAAUGCCUUUUAAACAUGAACAGAUACCUCUCCCCCUGAAUUAUUGCAAAGGUUUUCUCAUGUGAUCUUUCUUAUGUCUUACAUAUUAAAUUAUUCUUAAAUUGUGUAAUAGUGACUGGAAUUUGGGAUUCUGUUGUGACUUGUAAAUUUGAAAUGCAUUUUCAGGAAAAUUGUCAAGAUUCCCAGGUGACUCAUUUUCAUUCCUUGCAGCCUUUCUGGUAUGUGAUCCUUCCUGAGUUUGUCAGUUGGGAGGAGACACCCUUUGCCUUCUGUUCUGACUCAGUGGCUGCCUCUGGCUUACACUACUCAAAAUCUCAAUUGUUAGAGGUCCAUUUGAACAGCUCUUGUGGGUCCUGCAUGCUUCAAGUACAUGCUUCCUGUGGUCACCAUAAACACAUCGAGUCCAAGGGGUUCCAGAACCUGCUAGACUUCUGCUACACUGCCCUGCUCAUCCUACACUGCCCUGCUCAUCCUUCCAGGGCUGCAUUCUGCGGAGAACAGGAGCUUCGCAUCACCUUACUGAGAGACUCAUUCCUGAUGUAUUUCCAUCCUCCUUCCUGAAGAGAAGCAGCAUUUUAGACAUAGGGGCCUUGGCUGACUAAGGACUGUCUCUAGAAAGUUCACAGCACUAUAUUAUAAAUGUGGCCUCAGUGUGCUGGUCAUUGCCAUUGUGAUUUCCCCAACUGCCAUGUACUGAAGUCCGAGAAGUGUAGUGCGCCUCAUGCAUGGGAAGACCCAGAGCUGCCUUAUGAGUAUGGAAGCUUGCUAGGACCUGAAGAGAGCUAGAGAUGCUCCUGUGUUUCCCUUGGUGGCUAAAAACCCCUAUAUAGAGAAAGUGUCUGUGUCAGCAAGAUAUGUCCAGACCGUAGACCAACUUUUUAAGCCCACAUGUGUCUGCAUUGAACCUACACGGACUACCAGGUGCAUGUUUGUAAGCCAUCCUUUACUCUUUUUUGAAAACUUGGUUACAUUGACAUGUAAGUUUUUUACAUAUAAAUUUCAGAAGCAAUACAGAUGUGUUUUGUGGAAAGGCUAUAUACUGCUUGUAAUAAAUUUCUGACUCUUGCUUAAUAAAAAUUAAAUGAUCCAAUUAUGGAAAAUC